UACAAGAUUUUUCAGUAUAAUCUGGAGUCCUAUGUUUGAUGUUUGGAAAUCAUCAAAAUAUAGGAGUAUUUAAAGCCAAAAGAAAGGAGAAAUGCACAUUUUCUUUGUGUGUGUGUGUGUGUGUGUGUGUGUUUGUGUCCAUGUAG
rnacentral:sRNA from 1 species